GUCGGGAAUUUUGGGCAAUGGGCGAAAGCCUGACCCAGCAACGCCGCGUGAGGGAUGAAGUAUUUCGGUAUGUGAACCUCGAAAGAAUGGGAAGAAUAAAUGACGGUACCAUUUAUAAGCUCCGGCUAACUACGUGCCAGCAGCCGCGGUAAUACGUAGGGAGCAAGCGUUGUUCGGAUUUACUGGGCGUAAAGGGCGCGUAGGCGGCGCGGUAAGUCACUUGUGAAAUCUCUGAGCUUAACUCAGAACGGCCAAGUGAUAUUGCUGUGCUAGAGUGCGGAAGAGGCAACCGGAAUUCUUGGUGUAGCGGUGAAAUGCGUAGAUAUCAAGAGGAACACCUGAGGCGAAGGCGGGUUGCUGGGCCGACACUGACGCUGAUGCGCGAAAGCCAGGGGAGCAAACG
rnacentral:rRNA from 1 species